CAGUCGAACGGGAAACUUUUCAUUGAAGCUUCGGCAGAUUUGGUCUGUUUCCAUUGGCGGACGGGUGAGUAACGCGUGGGUAACCUGCCUUAUACAGGGGGAUAACAACCAGAAAUGGUUGCUAAUACCGCAUAAGCGCACAGGACCGCAUGGUCCGGUGUGAAAAACUCCGGUGGUAUAAGAUGGACCCGCGUUGGAUUAGCUAGUUGGCAGGGUAACGGCCUACCAAGGCGACGAUCCAUAGCCGGCCUGAGAGGGUGAACGGCCACAUUGGGACUGAGACACGGCCCAGACUCCUACGGGAGGCAGCAGUGGGGAAUAUUGCACAAUGGGGGAAACCCUGAUGCAGCGACGCCGCGUGAAGGAAGAAGUAUCUCGGUAUGUAAACUUCUAUCAGCAGGGAAGAUAGUGACGGUACCUGACUAAGAAGCCCCGGCUAACUACGUGCCAGCAGCCGCGGUAAUACGUAGGGGGCAAGCGUUAUCCGGAUUUACUGGGUGUAAAGGGAGCGUAGACGGACUGGCAAGUCUGAUGUGAAAGGCGGGGGCUCAACCCCUGGACUGCAUUGGAAACUGUUAGUCUUGAGUGCCGGAGAGGUAAGCGGAAUUCCUAGUGUAGCGGUGAAAUGCGUAGAUAUUAGGAGGAACACCAGUGGCGAAGGCGGCUUACUGGACGGUAACUGACGUUGAGGCUCGAAAGCGUGAGGAGCAAACAGGAUUAGAUACCCUGGUAGUCCACGCC
rnacentral:rRNA from 1 species